GACGAACGCUGGCGGCGUGCUUAACACAUGCAAGUCGAACGGAAAGGCCCUGCUUUUGUGGGGUGCUCGAGUGGCGAACGGGUGAGUAACACGUGAGUAACCUGCCCUUGACUUUGGGAUAACUUCAGGAAACUGGGGCUAAUACCGGAUAGGAGCUCCUGCUGCAUGGUGGGGGUUGGAAAGUUUCGGCGGUUGGGGAUGUACUCGCGGGUUAUCAGCUUGUUGGUGGGGUAGUGGCUUACCAAGGCUUUGACGGGUAGCCGGCCUGAGAGGGUGACCGGCCACAUGGGGACUGAGAUACGGCCCAGACUGCUACGGGAGGCAGCAGGGGGGAGUAUUGCACAAUGGGCGGAAGCCUGAUGCAGCAACGCCGCGUGCGGGAUGACGGCCUUCGGGUUGUAAACCGCUGUCGCCUGUGACGAAGCGUGAGUGACGGUAAUGGGUAAAGAAGCACCGGCUAACUACGUG
rnacentral:rRNA from 1 species